GAUGAACGCUGGCGGCGUGCCUAAUACAUGCAAGUCGAGCGAACGGACGAGAAGCCUGCUUCUCUGAUGUUAGCGGCGGACGGGUGAGUAACACGUGGAUAACCUACCUAUAAGACUGGGAUAACUUCGGGAAACCGGAGCUAAUACCGGAUAAUAUUUUGAACCGCAUGGUUCAAAAGUGAAAGACGGCCUUGCUGUCACUUAUAGAUGGAUCCGCGCUGCAUUAGCUAGUUGGUAAGGUAACGGCUUACCAAGGCAACGAUGCAUAGCCGACCUGAGAGGGUGAUCGGCCACACUGGAACUGAGACACGGUCCAGACUCCUACGGGAGGCAGCAGUAGGGAAUCUUCCGCAAUGGGCGAAAGCCUGACGGAGCAACGCCGCGUGAGUGAUGAAGGUCUUCGGAUCGUAAAACUCUGUUAUUAGGGAAGAACAUAUGUGUAAGUAACUGUGCACAUCUUGACGGUACCUAAUCAGAAAGCCACGGCUAACUACGUG
rnacentral:rRNA from 1 species